GCACGAUGGUUGCGCCGAACGACGCCGUGGCGUGUUCGUUCUCGACUUGACCGAGGCACCUUUUCUCCUAGAAGCUUCCAUUGCAGUGUUUCGAGCCUCUUUGAGCCAGCACACAGUGUAUAUAAACAUCAGACACUGAUUGGGAACAUCACCUAUCCUCUGUGCACUUGUUGCGUCGUCCUCAAUUUAAGCGGAACUCUUUUCGUCAGCCUCCAGGUUUCUGCCCCAUACGUGAGUACUGACUCAAGUGCAUCACGGAAAUGGUCCCAGCCUGAAACCCUGAUUUUGUGAAUGUGGCACAUUUUCACACCUACAUCAAGUGUUAUACUGGACAAUGGUCGCUACCUUUUGGGGCAGAGUAGCACUGACACUCUGGAUGAAGGCCCCAGUUGCCAAUGCUAGGAAAGUGUACUGCCCUUCUGGUUGUAAUGGAGGGCGUGGCAAUUGGGAUAGUUGGUGUCAUUUGUUUAUUUGAGGUCUGUGGUGUCUGCUUUGUCAAGGUGGCAUCCUCUUGGCCCUACGUCUUUGCAUCCCUAAUGUGGGUGAUAUGCAUUGAGCUCACCUCGACUGAGUAUUCUGUGCUCGGGAAAGUGAAUUUGAAGAUGUCAAAGCUAAGUGAUGUCACCUCGGCUGCGGUGCCUGGUUUUGGGACAGAGGUAGACCCAUGCCAAAAUGGCUUCCCUUUCACUGCCCUAGCCUGCAGCACACACUGAUGAGAGAUAUGUUUAUUCAAGCUGUUCUUUCUUUCCCCUAAUUCAAUAACAGCCAAUUUUAGAAGUUGCAAAUCAAGCUGACUUCAUAAGACUGCUGAUUUUUUAGUUAAUUCUAGUAGCUUAUUGCGUGGUCAAUUUUCUAGUUGGGCAUGACACGCUUCGUGCUUAAAAAAUAAACUGUUUAAAGAAUUCUUUGAGUAAUAUUAGGACAGGCAACUCUAACUGAGUGUUCACUGAUUUUGUCGCAAAAUGUGGCAAUCAGCUAGGCAGACACUGUUACGACAGCAUAGUUUUUAGGUUGUAUGAGUGUAGAAGAAAUAAAAUUGGAGUUAUGAAGUUCAAAGCCCUAUUUUUACAGCCUCUCUUCAUACUGCUGACAUUAGAAAGCUUUAGAUUAGUGGACGCAAGCAGCAUGCGUAAACAAGAACCCUGUUUGAGUAUUUCUGGGACCAAUGUGGUUUGCAUAACCAAGCAGCACACGUGUCGCCUGCAUCAUUUUGUCCAAUACUAUUAUUUUCAUUGUAAAGCAAUAAAUAUCGCAGUAAGUCUGAUCAACCUGCAUCAAUAUGCUACAAAUUUUUAAGCACUUAAGGUGUGUCGGUUGAGCGUUUAAAGCGCUUCACCACACCCUUGGUGACUAGACUUGUGCUUUCCAGUAUUGCUAAUGAACUCUUGAGAUGUUUACAUUGUUUUUCUGUGCUGUAAGAAUAGUUUGACAGUCCUAAUAAAAUUGUUAAAGUGAAGGUCUGA